rnacentral:rRNA from 1 species
UCAAACUGGAGAUGGCGACCGGCGCACGGGUGAGUAACACGUAUCCAACCUGCCGAUAACUCGGGGAUAGCCUUUCGAAAGAAAGAUUAAUACCCGAUGGCAUAAUAGAACCGCAUGGUUUGAUUAUUAAAGAAUUUCGGUUAUCGAUGGGGAUGCGUUCCAUUAGGCAGUUGGUGGGGUAACGGCCCACCAAACCUUCGAUGGAUAGGGGUUCUGAGAGAAAGGUCCCCCACAUUGGAACUGAGACACGGUCCAAACUCCUACGGGAGGCAGCAUG